rnacentral:rRNA from 1 species
GUAGGGUGCGAGCGUUGUCCGGAAUUAUUGGGCGUAAAGGGCUCGUAGGCGGUCUGUUGCGUCGGGAGUGAAAACUCAGGGCUUAACCCUGAGCCUGCUUCCGAUACGGGCAGACUAGAGGUAUGCAGGGGAGAACGGAAUUCCUGGUGUAGCGGUGAAAUGCGCAGAUAUCAGGAGGAACACCGGUGGCGAAGGCGGUUCUCUGGGCAUUACCUGACGCUGAGGAGCGAAAGUGUGGGGAGCGAACAGGAUUAGAUACCCUGGUAGUCCACACCGUAAACGUUGGGCGCUAGGUGUGGGACUCAUUCCACGAGUUCCGUGCCGCAGCUAACGCAUUAAGCGCCCCGCCUGGGGAGUACGGCCGCAAGGCUA